rnacentral:rRNA from 1 species
CCUACGGGGGGCAGCAGUGAGGAAUAUUGGUCAAUGGCCGGAAGGCUGAACCAGCCAUGCCGCGUGAAGGUCAGUGCCCUAUGGGCGUUAAACUUCUUUUGUGCGGGAGCAAUAAUGGUCACGUGUGGCCAGACGAGAGUACCGUACGAAUAAGCAUCGGCUAACUCCGUGCCAGCAGCCGCGGUAAUACGGGGGAUGCAAGCGUUAUCCGGAUUUAUUGGGUUUAAAGGGUGCGUAGGCUGUGAGGUAAGUCAGCGGUGAAAUGCCCCCGCGCAACGGGGUGAAGUGCCAUUGAUACUGCCUGGCUGGAAUGCGGAUGCCGUGGGAGGAAUGUGUGGUGUAGCGGUGAAAUGCAUAGAUAUCACACAGAACACCGAUUGCGAAGGCAUCUCACGAAUCCGCGAUUGACGCUGAUGCACGAAAGCGUGGGUAUCAAACAGGAUUAGAUACCCGAGUAGUC